AUAAGCCGAUUUGAACUUGAAUUUCAGAAGCCUUACCCCAUUCCAGCGCAAUAAGGCCCGAUUAACGAAGUUUUGAAGCUCUCUAGCAUCAUCAAAAUCCAUAGCAGCAUUGUCGAAAUUAAGGUAGGGUGCGGUGAUCCAAAGGUUUUUCCAGCGCUUGGAUAGAAUCGUUGUCCUAACAACAUCAGUCAUAGGCAACGACCAAAAUAUGUGAAAUAUUAACGAGUCCGGCAACUCACUGAGUCGAUCCAUGAAACCCUCUGAAACAUAAUGAAGCAUCAAUGAAUGAAAUGUGCAUCAACAACUCAGAAUUCACCUUUAAUGGAAGCAAAAUAGCACAUUGACAAGAUUACCUCGAGAUGAACGCUUCUUCAUUCUCGCGCCAAAAAAACCCUUGCUUGAGCUGAUGAACAUAACACACGAGACUGAAAAGGCAUUAAAGUUGAAAAUUAAGCGUUGGGUCCCUAAAAUAAAUUCAUCUUUUUAGUUUUGGGACCUCCCCAAAUAAGUUUCUCUUUCUUUGUUUUUAUUUUUGGACAAUUAUCUCACGACUAAUAAUAAUUUAUUUAUUCUUACUUUUUACUUUUUCACCACUUCCAAUACUAAUUACUCCAUCCGUCCGCCAAAAGUAUUCCACAAUUACUAUAUUUGGCGUCAGCAAAAAGUAUUCCACUUUCCUUUUUAAGUCAUGGUCCCACCAUCCACCUUUAUAUUUUAUCCUUACAAACACUCUUUAUUUACAAAAAACUCACCUCAAAUUCAAUCUCAACCACACAUCUCAUAAAGUGGUGGGACCCUUUCUCCACUACAUCAACAUCAUCACCAAUUUUAUUAAACUCCGUGUCCAGCCAAAGUGGAAUACUUUUGGCGGACGGAGGGAGUAUAAUAUUUUUUCACCAUUCCCAAUACUAAUUACUCCAUCCGUCCCACUGCAAUAAGCUCACUUCUUUUGGGCACGGAAAUUAAGAAAAUUUACUUUUUAGUAGCAAAGUGGUAGUAAAGUGGUGUGGUCCACACCAAUUUAGUAGUACAACUUUUUCUUCAAAAUGGAAAAUGAGUUUAUUGGAGUGGGACAUCCCCAAAAGGAAAAUGAACCUAUUAGAGUGGGACGGAUGGAGUAUAGCAUAUUUUUUUCCACUAAUAUACUUUAUCACUUUUUCUUAAAAUUCGUGCUGUCCCCAAAGAGGAAUUUAUUUUGGGGACAGAGGGAGUAUUCCAGAAAUUUGAUGAUGAGAUUCUUUUGGUAAAAAAUUUUUAUAGGGGUUUUAACUAUUUUAAAGUGUUAUUCGUAUAUGUGGAAGAGGCAAUCUGUUUUUCAUUUUGUCACCAACCAAAACCAUUGGCAGAUAACCAUUUUAUCUCUCUUAAUUAAAAAGGGACUUUAAAAUUGGUUUUAAAAAUUUUUAUUUUCAUUUUACUUAAUAUACCUUUUUAUUUAAAACCAAACAUUUCAUUAAAUUUAAAAUUUAAGCAUUACAUUGAUUAAAAUAAAAUAUAAUAAUAAAAAUAUAUUACAAUAAUAUAAAUAAAAUGAAGAGUUGGAAGAGGAGUUGGAAAAAUAAGACAUUAUUAGAGGAGAAAAAUGAAAAAUAAAAGAUGAGUAGUAGUAAUUGAUAAAAUCGAAUAAAUGAAAUACCUAUUUAUAGAUAAAUUUUAUAAUAGAAAAAAGCGAAACAACAGUUGCAGUGACUAAUUAAAAAAAUAGACAAAAAAGAACCAUUGGGAUCAAUUUAAAAUUUAAUUUUAAAAUAGCACGCGCAUAGCAUGCGCCUCAUAUUUAUCGACGAAAAUCCGACAUGAGGCUUAAAGCUCGGCACGAGCUUGAGGUGCGGCACUAGGAGUAGGAGGGCAGUGCGGAUAGCUGUGCUCAUUGUGGCAAUUAGAGUCCCGUUGUGAAUGCUCUAAAUAAGAAUAUAUCUUAUACACUAAUAUAGUGACAUGUAUUUAUUCGUAUGUAUAGUAUUUAUAUUAGGUUCCUUAAGGUCUUCAUUAUAAUACUGUACUUGUUUAAUAUGUUCACCUCGAUCAAUUAACGAACAAGGAUAAUGCAUCAUUCAUUUUUGUUAGAGCUAAUUAGUUUAUUUAUAUGGUUUUAUCUUUUUUAUUAAACUAGCAGAAAUAGCGUCCAUUGUACGCAUAAUUAAUAUUAUUUUAUUUGAUAAAAUAUAAAUAUAAUAUUUAUUAUAUUUAAUUUUCAAUUAACAAUUUGAUCUAUUUAAUUUUUUUAAUUCUAUUAUUUAUCUCUUACCACGAUUAAUUAGAAAGAAUUGGUAAGACCGAGAGAGUAUAAUUAAUUGAUAUAUAUCACAUAAAUUUAGUGUAAUAUCUAAUGAAUUAAUAUAUUCUUAUAAAUAUAUAACAUGUAAAAUAACUUUAAAAUAAAAAUACAAUAGGAAUAAAAUAGGUCAUCCACAUAUUAUGUCUAAAGCACUUUUUAUAUAUUUUUAUAUAUUAGUAUAGAUAUAUUACAUUUAAGAGAAUAUAUAUUGUUAGUUUGCAUUUGUAACAUAUAUUAAUUUGGUUAUGGGCCGGAGUUUGGGCUCACCGUCCUUAAUUUUCAAGCUUCAAUAACUCUAUAAAUAGUAUCAAACCGCAAACACGUUUCUAUGAAAUCUAUUUUUUAAUGUUUAGAACUUAGAAACCCAAAAACUUUUUUAUUCCAUGGGCAACUCACUAUAAGAAGCUCCAUCGUGAUUAUGUUUUUUUUUUCCUUUAUUAAUUUAACACAAUAUUUAGUUGAUAACUAAGAAAAGAGGUGACAGUUUCAGUUCUCUUUUGCUUGAAUACCAACAGAAAUCUAAAUGAUCGACGUUUUAUAUGUUAGAGAAAUGAAAUUGUUAGCUAUCAUAUGAAGCACUAGAUUAAUUUGACAUUGGGAAGUAAAAGCAAGAUAAACAACAAUCUAGAUUAACAAGAGUGCUACUAAUGAAAAUUGCUCUGCUUCCCUAAAUAAGCAAAUAUAUAAAGAACAAUUGAAGACGAAACAAAAGGAUAUCAAGCUCAGCACAUACUGCAUUCCUAUGAUUGAAGACAUAACUUGGUAAGAUCAAUAUUCAAGAAAGUAAAUUGUGCAGUUCAUGAGGUUUCAUUCAUAGCACUAAGAAAUUCAUCCAAAAGUGUCGAACUGCUCUACUGCCCUGAAUAAGCAAAAUACAACAACAAAAUGAAACAAACAAGGUAACAAAAACUGAAACAGGGUUAAAGAAAAGUAAAAUCCAACUCCCCAGAUCGGAGCAUAAUGCCGUCAUUGCAAAAUAUUUACAGAAAAUGUACGACAAACGCUAUUACCCGUCCAAGAAGACAAUCAGCUAGUUACUUGGAGUCAUGUGGCAUUCCUAUGAUUAAAGACAUAACUUGGUAAGAUCAAUAUUCACAGAAAAUCAAUUGAGCAGUUGGGGAGGAUCUUGGCAUUCUCAGCAGUUUCUGUGAUGCCAAAAACAAAGAUCUUGGCAUGAUUCCUUCUACUCUGAACACCAGCUUUUCUAGAUUGCUUGCGUGUUUUAACAAAAACUCUAAAAACGGAAAUACGUCGUCAUCCUCAUCCUCAUCCCAAAUAACCUCAACUGUCCUCAACUGCAAAAAGGACUCGGGAGGAUAUGCUUCAAACUUGAGGUAGCUAUUGGCAUCAAAGUUGAGUGACUCUUGGUUUUUAUGCAUUUCAUAUUCUCCUCUAUCGUCAAGGACUAACUUCUUUAAUUGAGGAAAACUCUCAAGUAGACCUACUAAUAGUUUGUAGUCAUUGAAAUGAAAUCCAAGUUGCAAGGACUUGACAUUAGGAAAAGAGGAAUUCAUGCAUCUCUUAAUCAUAGCUCCAAGCACCUGAUGUCAAAUAAGUUCAUAAUAAUAAUCAGCUCACUGAUGCAAACACCAAGUAAGAUAAAAGGCAAGCAUUGAUUUUUAGGGAUGCAACAAUGAUUUCAUCAAAUUAAAAGAAUGUCAAACAUUACAUAUCAUUUAUAGUUAUUACAAUGCUAACAUACAAGUCACAAGCUUGAUGUUACAAAGUAAUGCAUAUAUAUAAAUUCUAGAAUGGAUUUAAAAAGGAUAGGAGUUAGUUGCAUGAUGAAAGUGGGAACUCUAAUAUACGUGGUUCACAUGCACACACUAAUUGAAGUUAGAAAUAAGAAAACAUGACUUAACAACUAUGCUCAAUAAAUAAUGAAAACUUCAUCAACAUAUUUAGAAUUAAUUUGAUCUCUUCAGCCUCAUUGCUACUCUAUUAAUACAUAACAAAUGCAAGACGCAUAAGAUAGUUUAAAGAAACCGAACCUUGAUGCAACAGAACAUUAAUAUGACGUUUUCAACAUGUUGGAUGGCUGAGAGAAUUUGACAGAACGCAUCUCCCAGAAAAUCAUCCGGGGUAAACAAGCCACGCUCAGUGUCUAUCCCGGGAAAGGAAUCAUAUACAUCAAAAUAAUGUAGACCAGAUAGCCCAAGAGUUGCGUGGGUUAAAGAUGAGACAUUAACCAACAGACACUUUUUAUAUGGAGCUCCUUCAAUUUCCAAGGUUUCAAGAUUUGGGGUACAAAUUAUCAGUUCUGAAUCCCAACAUUGAUAACCAAGAAGAGUAUAAUACUUUCGAAUCGACAGCACUUUCAAACUAGUAGAUCGGAAAGACAAGUUUUCAUACUCUCUAUCUGCAAAAGACAAGAUCAAGACUUCCAACCGAGGACUACCAGAUAAUAUUUGGUUAACCACAUGAUCAGUGACCCCAAAGCCAUCAAUAAUUGUUAAACUUUUGAGUUGAUUCCACUGCACAUCCCCAUAAACUCUAAAGUCUCUAAAGUUACAAUCCUCUAACCAUAACACUUUAAGAGAUGAGCACGAGUAUACACACUGCGGCAAACAGUACAUGUCGUCAAACAGAAUAUGCAAGUAUAAUUCUUCGACCCCCUUAUCCUUAGCAAAUUGAAGCCACAAAUCAAUACCCAAACAGAUGGAAUCAUCAAACUCAUAACCCGAUUUGAACUUGAAUUUCAGAACCCUUACCCCAUUCCAGCGUACUAAGGCCCGAUUAACGAAGUUUUGAAGCUCUCUACCAUCAUCAAAAUCCAUAGCACCAUUGUCGAAAUUAAGGUAGGGAGCGGUGGUCCAAAGGUUUUUCCAGCGCUUCGAUAGAAAUGUCGUCCUAACAACAUCAGUCAUAGGCAACGACCAAAAUAUGUGAAAUAUUAUCGAGUCCGGCAACUCACUGAGUCGAUCCAUGAAACCCUCUGAAACAUAAUGAAGCAUCAAAGGAAUGAAAUGUGCAUCAAAAACUCAGAAUUCACCUUUAAUGGAAGCAAAAUAACACAUUGUAGUAUCAAAUUCUCGAAGAUUACCUCAAGAUGAACGCUUCUUCGCUCUCGCGCCAACAAAACCCUUGUUUGAGCUAAUGAACAAACAAAGGAGACUCAAAAGGCAUUGUAGCAUUGCUGCCUAAAAGCGCUAAAGUGGAAAAUUAAGCUUGGAACUUGGGGUUUUAAAAUCGCAAAUCGAAAUAAAAGCUGCUAUUGCAUUCUUUUAUAGGGGUUUUAAUUUACGGUAAUGUUCUUUGAACAAAAUAUAUGUCCGCACAAAAAUAUGGUUAAAUAUUUUUAAAAGAUAAAUUUAUUUAAAAUUUUUGGUUCAAACAAAACAAGAAUUUUGUUAGUUUUAUUCAUUUCUCCUUAUUAUAUUUUUUGUAAUUAUUUAAUAAUAUUUUUAAUUUUUAUUAUUUUUAAAGUGCAAAAAUUACAAAAAAAGGAAAAUAAUAAAAAUUAAAAGAAUUGUUAAAAAAUUACAAAAAAAACUACAAUAUGAAAAAAUUAAUAAAGCUAAAUAAAUCCUGUUUGAAUUUGAACCAAAGAUUAUAAAUAAAUCAAGUUUUUUAAAUUUAUGACCUUUUUUUAUCAGAAUAAAUUUUGUCCAAAUAACACUGCCAUUUAAUUUAUUCUGUCACCAACCAAAACCAUUGGCAGAUUACCAUUUUAUCUCUCUUAAUUAAUACCUUCUCAUCAAAAGCGAGGUGGAUAUUUUUGUGAUAUUGGAGUAAUUACUAAUAGCAUCCACUUAAGAGCUACUACUUUAUAAGAAGGGACUUUAAAAUUGGUUUGAAAAUUUUUAUUUUUAUUUUAUUCAAAUUGAUUUCUUCAUUUUUGAAAUCAAACAUUUUAUUAAGUUUUAAAUUUAAACAUUACAAUGAUUAAAACAAAAUAUAGUAAUAAAAAAAUAUUACAAUAAUUAAAUAAAAUGAAGAGUUAGUUGGAAGAGGAGUGGGAAGAAGAAGACAUUUUAAAGGAGGAGAAUGAUAGAAAAUGAGUAGUGAGAAUUGAUGUGAAAAAUAGCAGAAAUGAAAUACUCAAUAGAUCAAUUUUAGAAUAAAAAAAAGUGAAACAACCGUUGCAUGACUAAUUAAAAGAAAUCGACAGAAAGAGCCAUUGAGAUCAAUUUAAAAUUUAAUUUUAAAAUGGUGUGCACAUAGGUUGAGCCUCAUAUUUCUAGACGAAAGUCUGACGUGAGGCUUAAAGCUCGGCACGAGCUUGAGGUGCGGCACUGGGAGGGCAGUGCGGAUAGUGGGGCUCGAUGUAGCAGGUACAGUCCCGUUGUGGCCCGUGUGGAUGCUCUAAAUAAAAAUAUAUAGUGUAUUUAUAUUAGGUAGCUUCCUUAAGGUGUAGUCUUCAUUAUAAUACCGCAGUCUUGUUUAAGGUUCACCUCAAUCAAUUAACGAACAAGGAUAAUGUAUCAUUCAUAUUUGUUAGAGCUAAUUUAUUAAUUCUAUUUUAUUUGUAUAGGUUUGUCUUUUUUAUUAAAUAUAUUAUAUUUAGGACAAUAUAUAUUGUUAGUUUGCAUUUGCAACAUAUUAAUUUGGUCAUGGCCGGAAAUAAUUUGGUUAUGGGCCGUUAUUUGGGCUCACCAUCCUUAAUUUUCAAGUUUCAAUAACUCUAUAAAUAGAACCCAAAAAUUGCACCAAAUAAAACCCCAAACACGUUUCUAUGAAAUCUAUUUUUUAAUGUUUAGAACUUAGAAACCCAAAAACUUUUUUAUUCCAUGGGCAACUCACUAUAAGAAGCUCCAUCGUGAUUAUGUUUUUUUUUUUUCCCUUUAUUAGUUUAACAGAAUAUUUAGUUGAUAACUAAGAAAAGAGGUGACAAUUUCAGUUCUCUUUUGCUUGAAUACCAACAGAAAUCUGAAUGAUCGACGUUUUAUACGUGAGAGAAAUGAAAUUGUUAGCCUAUCAUAUGAAGCACUAGAUUAAUUUGACAUUGGGAAGUAAAGCAAGAUAAACAACAAUAGUGCUACUAAUGAAAAUUGCUCUGCUUCCCUAAAUAAGCAAAUAUAUAAAGAAAAUUUGAAGACGAAACAAAAGGAUAUCAAGCUCAGCACAUACUGCAUUCCUAUGAAUAUGAUUGAAGACAUAACUUGGUAAGAUCAAUAUUCAAAAAAGUAAAUUGUGCAGUUCAUGAGGUUUCAUUCAUAGCACUAAGAAAUUCAUCCAAAAGUGUCGAACUGCUCUACUGCCCUGAAUAAGCAAAAUACAACAACAAAAUGAAACAAACAAGGUAACAAAAACUGAAACAGGGUUAAAGAAAAGUAAAAUCCAACUCCCCAGAUCGGAGCAUAAUGCCGUCAUUGCAAAAUAUUUACAGAAAAUGUACGACAAACGCUAUUACCCGUCCAAGAAGACAAUCAGCUAGUUACUUGGAGUCAUGUGGCAUUCCUAUGAUUAGAGACAUAACUUGGUAAGAUCAAUAUUCACAGAAAAUCAAUUGAGCAGUUGGGGAGGAUCUUGGCAUUCUCAGCAGUUUCUGUGAUGCCCGAAACAAAGAUUUUGAUGGACAUUUAGGUGGCAUGAUUCCUCUUACUCUGAACACCAUCUUUUCUAGAUUGCUCGCGUAUUUUAACAGAAACUCUAAAAACGGAAAUACUUCGUCAUCCUCAUCCUCAUCCCAAAUAACCUCAACUGUCCUCAACUGCAGAAAGGACUCGGGAGGAUAUGCUUCAAACUUGAGGGAGCUCUUGGCAUCAAAGUUGAGUGACUCUUGGUUUUCAUGCAUCUCGAAUCCUACUCUACAUUUAAGGACUAACUUCUUUAAUUGAGGAAAACUCUCAAGUAGACUUACUAAUAGUUUGUAGUCAUUGAAACAAAAUCCAAGAUGCAAGGACUUGACAUUAGGAAAAGAGGAAGUCAUGCAUCUCUUUAUCAUAGCUCCAAGCACCUGACGUAAAACAAGUUCAUGAUAAUAAUCAGCUCACUGAAGCAAACACCAAGUAAGAAAAAAAGGCAAGCAUUGAUUUUUAGGGAUGCAACAAUGACUUCAUCAAAUUAAAAGAAUGUCAAACAUUCCAUAUCAUUUAUGGUUAUUAGUUAUUACAAUACUAACAUACAAGUCACAAGCUUGAUGCUACAAAGUAAUGCGUAUAUAAAAAUUCUAGAAUGGAUUUAAAAAGGCCAAAAAAGGAUAGGAGUUAGUUGCAUGAUGAAAGUGGGAACUGUAAUAUAAGUGGUUCAGUUAAAGAAGCCAAUGAUGCAACAAAGAAAGCAUACAAAGACCACCAUGCCAUCCAAGCUGACAUGCAUUGAAGUUAGAAUUAAGAAAACAUGACUAACAACUAUGCUAAAUAAAUAAUGAAAACUUCAUCAACAUAUUUAGAAAUUAAUUUGAUCACUUCAUCCUCAUUGCUACUCUAUCAAUACAUAUAUAACAAAUGCAAGACGCAUAAGAUUAGUUUAAAGAACCGAACCUUGAUGCAACAGAACAUUAAUGUGACAUUUUCAACAUGUUGGAUGGUUGAGAGAAUUUGACAGAACACGUCUCCCAGAAAAUCAUCCGAGGUAAACAAGCCACGCUCGGUGUCCAUCCCAGGAAAGUCCACAUCGUAUACAUCAAAGCAAUGUAGACCAAAAAACGCAAGAGUUGCGUGGGUUAAAGAUGAGACAUUCACCAACAGACACUUUUUAUAUGGAGCUCCUUUAAUUUCUAAGGUGUGAAGAUUUGGGGUGCAAAUUCUCAGUUCUGAAUCCCAACAUAGUUCAGCACAAAAUUGAAAAUACCUGUGAAUCGACAGCACUUUCAAACUAGUAGAUUGGAUACACAAGUUUUCACCUAUAUCUAGAAAAGACAUGAUCAAGACUUCCAACCGAGGACUACCACACAAUAUUUGGUUAAUCACACGUUCAGUGACCUCAUCACCAUUAAUAAUUGUCAAACUCUUGAGUUGAUUCCACUGAACAUUCCCAUAAACUCUCAAGUUACAAUCCUCAAACGAUAACACUUUAAGCGAUGAACAUGAGUAUACACACUGCGGCACCCAGUAUAUGUCGUCAUUAUCAUUAAUUUCAAACAGAAUAUGUAAGUAUAAUUCUUCGACCCCCUUAUCCUUGGCAAAUUGAACCCACAAAUCAGUACCCAAACACAUGGACUCAUCAAACUCAUAAAUCGAUUUGAACUUGAAUUUCAGAAGCCUUACCCCAUUCCAGCGCAAUAAGGCCCGAUUAACGAAGUUUUGAAUCUUUGUAUCAUCAUCAAAGUUCAUGGCAGCAUUGUCGAAAUUAAGGUAGGGUGCGGUGGUCCAAAGGUUUUUCCAGCGCUUCGAUAGAAUCGUUGUCCUAACAACAUCAGUCAUAGGCAACGACCAAAAUAUGUGAAAUAUGAUCGAGUCCGGCAACUCACUGAGUCGAUCCAUCAAA
rnacentral:lncRNA from 1 species